UAGCGUGCUAAUAGCGCGCUAGAUGUCAUUUAGCGCUGAAAAUUGGGCCUCUAGCGUUAGCGUCCCGCGUCUCUGACCUAAAAUUUUCGGCCCAAAAUGAAAUCGCUACGCGGGCUAAAGCCCAAGCCUACCAAUAGCGAAUACUAUGCCCCCAACCCUCCUCUCGAGCGAAACCCUAUCCCCACUCCCGUCCUCAUCUCAAACAGGAACCAUGGCGGCGGCCGACCAACGACCAACCAUGGCGACGGCCUCGAGCUGCCACUCCGGCGACUGACCUUCCUCGCCACUCCCUCCCAGCGACGGGGUAUUCCUUCCACCAGGCGACGCAGCUCCCGGACGUUUCCUCUCGGCUGCUCCCUCCUGGCCACUUCCUCUGCUGACGGCGACGACCGCAUCCACAAGGCGACGGAGCACCCCGCGGCGACGGUGUCCACCAGGCGACCAUGAGCCAGCAAAUCCCGUCAGCAGGUGUUGGUGGCUCAAGCACUGCCUCAGUAGCAGCACCUGCACUCCCUCAAGUUGAUUCGGAUGACCCUGCGUGGAAGUAUUGCACUCUUCCAGAUGUGAACAAGAAGCAUUGGCAGUUGGUAUGUUGUUUAUGUACUCUUCAGGACCAUCUCAUGUUGUUUAUGUACCACUUUUGUUAUUCAAAGUGUGCUGGUGGUAUGUUGCUAGUUGCUAUGCCAAACUUUGCUCUGUUAUGUAAUGAAUUGAACCAUCUCCUGAUAUAUGUCCUUAUUAUGUA